GACGAACGCUGGCGGCGUGCCUAAUACAUGCAAGUAGAACGCACAGUUUAUACCGUAGCUUGCUACACCAUAGACUGUGAGUUGCGAACGGGUGAGUAACGCGUAGGUAACCUGCCUGGUAGCGGGGGAUAACUAUUGGAAACGAUAGCUAAUACCGCAUAAUAUUAAUUAUUGCAUGAUAAUGAAUUGAAAGGUGCAAUUGCACCACUACCAGAUGGGCCUGCGUUGUAUUAGCUAGUAGGUGAGGUAACGGCUCACCUAGGCGACGAUACAUAGCCGACCUGAGAGGGUGAUCGGCCACACUGGGACUGAGACACGGCCCAGCCUCCUACGGGAGGCAGCAGUAGGGAAUCUUCGGCAAUGGACGAAAGUCUGACCGAGCAACGCCGCGUGAGUGAAGAAGGUUGUCGGAUCGUAAAGCUCUGUUGUAAGAGAAGAACGGGUGUGAGAGUGGAAAGUUCACACUGUGACGGUAUCUUAACAGAAAGGGACGGCUAACUACGUG
rnacentral:rRNA from 1 species